UACGUAGGGGGCAAGCGUUGUCCGGAUUCAUUGGGCGUAAAGAGCUCGUAGGCGGUUCAGUAAGUCGGGUGUGAAAGCUCCGAGCUCAACUCGGAGAGGCCACCCGAUACUGCUGUGACUUGAGUCCAGUAGAGGAGCGUGGAAUUCCUGGUGUAGCGGUGAAAUGCGUAGAGAUCGGGAAGAACAUCGGUGGCGAAAGCAGCUCUCUGGGACGGUACUGACGCUGAGACGCGAAAGCGUGGGGAGCGAACAGG
rnacentral:rRNA from 1 species